CCUACGGGAGGCAGCAGUAGGGAAUAUUGCUCAAUGGGGGAAACCCUGAAGCAGCAACGCCGCGUGGAGGAUGCAGGUUUUCGGAUUGUAAACUCCUUUUGUUAGAGAAGAUAAUGACGGUAUCUAACGAAUAAGCACCGGCUAACUCCGUGCCCGCAGCCGCGGUAAGACGGAGGGUGCAAGCGUUACUUGGCAUCACUGGGCGUAAAGAGCGCGUAGGCGGGAUAGCAAGUCAGAUGUGAAAUCCUAUGGCUUAACCAUAGAACUGCAUUUGACAUUGUUAUUCUAGAGUAUGGGAGGGGUAGGUGGAAUUCUUGGUGUAGGGGUAAAAUCCUGAGAGAUCAAGAGGAAUACGCAUUGCGAAGGCGAUCUGCUAGAACAUAACUGACGCUGAUGCGCGAAAGCGUGGGGAGCAAACAGGAUUAGAUACCCUAGUAGUC
rnacentral:rRNA from 1 species